rnacentral:rRNA from 1 species
AUUGAACGCUGGCGGCAGGCCUAACACAUGCAAGUCGAACGGUAACAGGAAGAAGCUUGCUUCUUUGCUGACGAGUGGCGGACGGGUGAGUAAUGUCUGGGAAACUGCCUGAUGGAGGGGGAUAACUACUGGAAACGGUAGCUAAUACCGCAUAACGUCGCAAGACCAAAAAGGGGGACCUUCGGGCCUCUUGCCAUCGGAUGUGCCCAGAUGGGAUUAGCUAGUAGGUGGGGUAACGGCUCACCUAGGCGACGAUCCCUAGCUGGUCUGAGAGGAUGACCAGCCACACUGGAACUGAGACACGGUCCAGACUCCUACGGGAGGCAGCAGUGGGGAAUAUUGCACAAUGGGCGCAAGCCUGAUGCAGCCACGCCGCGUGUAUGAAGAAGGCCUUCGGGUUGUAAAGUACUUUCAGCGGGGAGGAAGGGAGUAAAGUUAAUACCUUUGCUCAUUGACGUUACCCGCAGAAGAAGCACCGGCUAACUCCGUG